GGGCCUGUAGAUCAGCGGAAGAUCGCUUGAUUCGCAUUCAAGAGGCCACGGGUUCAAUUCCCGUCAGGUCCACCA
rnacentral:tRNA from 1 species